rnacentral:rRNA from 1 species
AAGUCAUAACAAGGUUUCCGUAGGUGAACCUGCGGAAGGAUCAUUAAAGAGAUUACUCCUUGGGGUAUGCCGUAAAAAGCUACACCAUAGGAUAAACUCCACCCUUUGUUUAUGUUACCUGUUGCUUUAGCAUGCCCGCCCUAGGGCCGCUGGCUUCGGCUGGUCAGUGCAUGCUAGAGGACCCAAAACUCUUUUUAAUGUUGUCCGAGAACUAUACAAUAGUUAAAACUUUCAACAACGGAUCUCUUGGUUCUGGCAUCGAUGAAGAACGCAGCGAAAUGCGAUAAGUAAUGUGAAUUGCAGAAUUCAGUGAAUCAUCGAAUCUUUGAACGCACAUUGCGCCCUCUGGUAUUCCGGGGGGCAUGCCUGUUCGAGCGUCAUUACAACCCUCAAGCUCUGCUUGGUAUUAGGCAUCACCUGCUACAGGCGUGCCUUAAAAUCAGUGGCGGUGCCAUUUGGCUCCAAGCGUAGUAAUUUCUUCGGCUUGGGAGUACCAAUUGCGUGCCUGCUAGAAAUACCAAAUUUAUCAAAGGUUGACCUCGGAUCAGGUAGGGAUACCCGCUGAACUUAAGCAUAUCAAUAAGCGGAGGAAAAGAAACCAACAGGGAUUGCCUCAGUAACGGCGAGUGAAGCGGCACCAGCUCAAAUUUGAAAUCUGGCUCCCAGAGCCCGAGUUGUAAUUUGUAGAGGAUGUUUCGAACGUGGUCUGGUCUAAAUUCCUUGGAAUAGGAUGUCAUAGAGGGUGAGAAUCCCGUAUGCGACUGGGUGCCUAAGUUCAUGUGAAACUCCUUCGACGAGUCGAGUUGUUUGGGAAUGCAGCUCAAAAUGGGUGGUAAAUUUCAUCUAAAGCUAAAUAUUGGCCAGAGACCGAUAGCGCACAAGUAGAGUGAUCGAAAGAUGAAAAGCACUUUAGAAAGAGAGUUAAACAGUACGUGAAAUUGUUGAAAGGGAAGCGCUUGCAACCAGACUUGCAUGUAGUUGAUCAUCCGGCGUUUUCACCGGUGCACUCGAUUAUAUUCAGGCCAGCAUCGGUUUCGGUGGUUGGAUAAAGGCCUUGGGAAUGUAGCUUCUUUCGGGGAGUGUUAUAGCCCUCGGUGCAAUGCAGCCUACCGGGACCGAGGACCGCGCUUCGGCUAGGAUGCUGGCGUAAUGGUUGUAAGCGACC